AGUCAAUAGAUACCCGGGUAGUCCACGCCGUAAACGAUGAGUACUAGGUGUAGGAGGUAUCGACUCCUUCUGUGCCGCAGUUAAACACAAUAAGUACUCCGCCUGGGGAGUACGGUCGCAAGAUUAAAACUCAAAGGAAUUGACGGGGGCCCGGCACAAGCAGCGGAGCAUGUGGUUUAAUUACGAAGCAACGCGAAGAACCUUACCUAGACUUGACAUCUCCUGAAUAGCGCAGAGAUGCGUGAAGCCCGUUCGGGUCGAGGAAGACAGGUGGUGCAUGGUUGUCGUCAGCUCGUGUCGUGAGAUGCUGGGUUAAGUACCCGCAACGAG
rnacentral:rRNA from 1 species